rnacentral:rRNA from 1 species
CUACGGGAGGCACCAGUAAGGAAUAUUGCACAAUGGGGGAAACCCUGAUGCAGCAACGCCGCGUGGACGAAGAAGGCCUUCGGGUCGUAAAGUCCUUUUCUGAGGGAAGAGGAAGGACGGUACCUCAGGAAUAAGUCUCGGCUAACUACGUGCCAGCAGCCGCGGUAAAACGUGGGAGGCGAGCGUUAUCCGGAUUCACUGGGCGUAAAGGGCAAGUAGGCGGUUGUUUAAGUUAGGUGUGACAUCUCUCGGCUUAACUGGGAGGGAGCGCUUAAAACUAGGCAACUAGAGGGCGGAAGAAGGGGGUAGAACUCCAAAUGUAGCGGUGGCAUGCUCAGAUAUUUGGAAGAAUACCAGUGGCGAAGGCGACCCCCCGGUCCGUGCCUGACGCUGAGAGGCGAAAGCUAGGGUAGCGAACGGGAUUAGAUACCCGCGUAGUC